GAUGAACGCUGGCGGCGUGCCUAACACAUGCAAGUCGAGCGAAAAGACGAGGAGCUUGCUCCGUUUACGUGUGCGGCGCGGGGGUGUGAAACACGUGUAUAACCCACCUAUAUGACUGGGAAAACCUCGGGAAACCGGAGCUUAUACCGGAGAAGCUACUGAAGCGCAGGGGGGAAUAGUGAAAGACGGCUUUGCUGGCACUUAUCGCGGGUUCUCGGCCGCAUUAGGUAGUUGGGAGGUUAACGGCUUACCAAGGCAACGAUGCGUGGGCGACCUGAGAGGCUGAUCGGCCACACUGGAACUGAGACACGGUCCAGACGCCUAAGGGAGGCAGCAGUGGGGAACCUUACGCAAUGGGCGAAAGCUUGACGCAGCAAGGCCGCGUGUGUGACGAAGGUCUUCGGAUCGUAAAGCCCUGUUACUGGGGAUGAACCGAUUUCUCAUUAGACAUGGACUUAUUGACGGUACCUGAUCAAGAAGCACCGGCUAACUACGUG
rnacentral:rRNA from 1 species